rnacentral:rRNA from 1 species
CGGAGGGAAACCGAGUCUUAACCGGGCGUUAAGUUGCAGGGUAUAGACCCGAAACCCGGUGAUCUAGCCAUGGGCAGGUUGAAGGUUGGGUAACACUAACUGGAGGACCGAACCGACUAAUGUUGAAAAAUUAGCGGAUGACCUGUGGCUGGGGGUGAAAGGCCAAUCAAACCGGGAGAUAGCUGGUUCUCCCCGAAAGCUAUUUAGGUAGCGCCUCGUGAAUUCAUCUCCGGGGGUAGAGCACUGUUUCGGCUAGGGGGCCAUCCCGGCUUACCAACCCGAUGCAAACUGCGAAUACCGGAGAAUGUUAUCACGGGAGACACACGGCGGGUGCUAACGUCCGUCGUGAAGAGGGAAACAACCCAGACCGCCAGCUAAGGUCCCAAAGUCAUGGUUAAGUGGGAAACGAUGUGGGAAGGCCCAGACAGCCAGGAUGUUGGCUUAGAAGCAGCCAUCAUUUAAAGAAAGCGUAAUAGCUCACUGGUCGAGUCGGCCUGCGCGGAAGAUGUAACGGGGCUAAACCAUGCACCGAAGCUGCGGCAGCGACACUGUGUGUUGUUGGGUAGGGGAGCGUUCUGUAAGCCUGUGAAGGUGUGUCGUGAGGCAUGCUGGAGGUAUCAGAAGUGCGAAUGCUGACAUAAGUAACGAUAAAGCGGGUGAAAAGCCCGCUCGCCGGAAGACCAAGGGUUCCUGUCCAACGUUAAUCGGGGCAGGGUGAGUCGACCCCUAAGGCGAGGCCGAAAGGCGUAGUCGAUGGGAAACGGGUUAAUAUUCCCGUACUUGGUGUUACUGCGAAGGGGGGACGGAGAAGGCUAUGUUGGCCGGGCGACGGUUGUCCCGGUUUAAGCGUGUAGGUGUGUGUUCCAGGUAAAUCCGGUUCACUUUAACACUGAGGCGUGA